CAUAGGUUAAUGAGGCGAACCGGGGGAACUGAAACAUCUAAGUACCCCGAGGAAAAGAAAUCAACCGAGAUUCCCCCAGUAGCGGCGAGCGAACGGGGAGCAGCCCAGAGCCUGAAUCAGUGUGUGUGUUAGUGGAAGCGUCUGGAAAGGCGCGCGAUACAGGGUGACAGCCCCGUACACAAAAAUGCACAUGCUGUGAGCUCGAUGAGUAGGGCGGGACACGUGGUAUCCUGUCUGAAUAUGGGGGGACCAUCCUCCAAGGCUAAAUACUCCUGACUGACCGAUAGUGAACCAGUACCGUGAGGGAAAGGCGAAAAGAACCCCGGCGAGGGGAGUGAAAAAGAACCUGAAACCGUGUACGUACAAGCAGUGGGAGCACGCUUAGGCGUGUGACUGCGUACCUUUUGUAUAAUGGGUCAGCGACUUAUAUUCUGUAGCAAGGUUAACCGAAUAGGGGAGCCGAAGGGAAACCGAGUCUUAACUGGGCGUUAAGUUGCAGGGUAUAGACCCGAAACCCGGUGAUCUAGCCAUGGGCAGGUUGAAGGUUGGGUAACACUAACUGGAGGACCGAACCGACUAAUGUUGAAAAAUUAGCGGAUGACUUGUGGCUGGGGGUGAAAGGCCAAUCAAACCGGGAGAUAGCUGGUUCUCCCCGAAAGCUAUUUAGGUAGCGCCUCGUGAAUUCAUCUCCGGGGGUAGAGCACUGUUUCGGCAAGGGGGUCAUCCCGACUUACCAACCCGAUGCAAACUGCGAAUACCGGAGAAUGUUAUCACGGGAGACACACGGCGGGUGCUAACGUCCGUCGUGAAGAGGGAAACAACCCAGACCGCCAGCUAAGGUCCCAAAGUCAUGGUUAAGUGGGAAACGAUGUGGGAAGGCCCAGACAGCCAGGAUGUUGGCUUAGAAGCAGCCAUCAUUUAAAGAAAGCGUAAUAGCUCACUGGUCGAGUCGGCCUGCGCGGAAGAUGUAACGGGGCUAAACCAUGCACCGAAGCUGCGGCAGCGACGCUGAUGCGUUGUUGGGUAGGGGAGCGUUCUGUAAGCCUGCGAAGGUG
rnacentral:rRNA from 1 species